ensembl:lncRNA
UCAGGGAGUUUGAGGAUAGACACAGGGUCAGUGUUCAGUACCAAAUUUACCAUUUGCAUGGAUACUGGAGUAUUUUAGGUAGAUGUGACCAUGUAGGCAGGGAUACUGGAGUAUUUUAGGUAGAUGUGAUCAUGGAGGCAGGGAUACUGGAGUAUUUUAGGUAGAUGUGACCAUGUAGGCAGGGAUACUGGAGUAUUUUAGGUAGAUGUGAUCAUGUAGGCAGGGAUACUGGAGUAUUUUAGGUAGAUGUGACCAUGUAGGCAGGGAUACUGGAGUAUUUUAGGUAGAUGUGACCAUGGAGGCAGGGAUACUAGAGUAUUUUAGGUAGAGAUGUGACCAUGCAGGCAGGGAUACUGGAGUAUUUUAGGUAGAGAUGUGACCAUGCAGGCAGGGAUACUGGAGUAUUUUAGGUAGAGAUGUGUACAUGCAGGCAGGUAUUAGGAGAAAGCGAUGCGUAACAGGACAAAUAUUAAUAAUACGUGUGGGAACUUUGAAGAAUCUUUAAUAUUAAAUUAAAUAUAAAACACU